GACGAACGCUGGCGGCGUGCUUAACACAUGCAAGUCGAACGGAAAGGCCCUGCUUUUGUGGGGUGCUCGAGUGGCGAACGGGUGAGUAACACGUGAGUAACCUGCCCUUGACUUUGGGAUAACUUCAGGAAACUGGGGCUAAUACCGGAUAGGAGCUCCUGCUGCAUGGUGGGGGUUGGAAAGUUUCGGCGGUUGGGGAUGGACUCGCGGCUUAUCAGCUUGUCGGUGGGGUAGUGGCUUACCAAGGCUUUGACGGGUAGCCGGCCUGAGAGGGUGACCGGCCACAUUGGGACUGAGAUACGGACCAGACUCCUACGGGAGGCAGCAGUGGGGGAUGUUGCACAAUGGGCGGAAGCCUGAUGCAGCAACGCCGCGUGCGGGAUGACGGCCUUCGGGUUGUAAACCGCUUUCGCCUGUGACGAAGCGUGAGUGACGGUAAUGGGUAGAGAAGCACCGGCUAACUACGUG
rnacentral:rRNA from 1 species